UACAGAGGUCUCAAGCGUUGUUCGGAUUCAUUGGGCGUAAAGGGUGCGUAGGCGGCGCCGUAAGUCGGGUGUGAAAUUUCGGAGCUUAACUCCGAAACUGCAUUCGAUACUGCGGUGCUUGAGGACUGGAGAGGAGACUGGAAUUCAUGGUGUAGCAGUGAAAUGCGUAGAGAUCAUGAGGAAGACCAGUGGCGAAGGCGGGUCUCUGGACAGUUCCUGACACUGAGACACGAAGGCCAGGGGAGCAAACGGG
rnacentral:rRNA from 1 species